UACGGAGGGGGCUAGCGUUGUUCGGAAUGACUGGGCGUAAAGCGCGCGUAGGCGGGUUCUCCAAGUCGGGGGUGAAAGUCCGGGGCUCAACUCCGGAUCUGCGGUGGGUACGGGCAGACUAGAGUGAUGUAGGGGAGACUGGAAUUCCUGGUGUAGCGGUGAAAUGCGCAGAUAUCAGGAGGAACACCGAUGGCGAAGGCAGGUCUCUGGGCCACUACUGACGCUGAGAAGCGAAAGCGUGGGGAGCGAACAGG
rnacentral:rRNA from 1 species